AGUGAACUUCGUUUAAAGUGAAAAUCCUUUUAUGGCGGGGUUCGCCAUAAAAGAUUGAAACGGAAAGCGGGAAUUACU
rnacentral:sRNA from 1 species